UACGGAGGGGGCAAGCGUUGUUCGGAAUUACUGGGCGUAAAGGGCGCGUAGGCGGCUCGCUAAGUCGGAUGUGAAAACUCUGGGCUCAACCCAGAGCCUGCAUUCGAAACUGACGAGCUCGAGUACUGGAGGGGAAAGCGGAAUUCCUGGUGUAGCGGUGAAAUGCGUAGAUAUCAGGAGGAACACCGGUGGCGAAGGCGGCUUUCUGGACAGUAACUGACGCUGAUGCGCGAAAGCUAGGGGAGCAAACAGG
rnacentral:rRNA from 1 species